rnacentral:rRNA from 1 species
GACGUAGGGCGCGAGCGUUGUCCGGAUUUAUUGGGCGUAAAGAGCGUGUAGGCGGCCAGGUAGGUCUGCUGUGAAAACUCGAGGCUCAACCUCGAGAUGUCAGCGGAAACCAUCUGGCUAGAGUCCGGAAGAGGAGAGUGGAAUCCUGGUGUAGCGGUGAAAUGCGCAGAUAUCAGGAAGAACACCCGUGGCGAAGGCGGCUCUCUGGGACGGUACUGACGCUGAGGCGCGAAAGCGUGGGGAGCAAACAGG